GCGGAGUGGCGGACGGGUGGGUAACACGUGGGGAACCUAUCCAUUAGCGGGGGAUAACACUUGGAAACAGGUGCUAAUACCGCAUACGGNCUUUUUUUCACCUGAAAGAAAGCUCAAAGGCGCUUUAUAGCGUCACUGAUGGCUGGUCCCGCGGUGCAUUAGCCAGUUGGUGAGGUAACGGCUCACCAAAGCAACGAUGCAUAGCCGACCUGAGAGGGUGAUCGGCCACACUGGGACUGAGACACGGCCCAGACUCCUACGGGAGGCAGCAGUAGGGAAUCUUCGGCAAUGGACGCAAGUCUGACCGAGCAACGCCGCGUGAGUGAAGAAGGUUUUCGGAUCGUAAAGCUCUGUUGUCAGCAAAGAACAGGAGAAAGAGGCAAUGCUUUUUCUAUGACGGUAGCUGACCAGAAAGCCACGGCUAACUACGUGCCAGCAGCCGCGGUAAUACGUAGGUGGCAAGCGUUGUCCGGAUUUAUUGGGCGUAAAGCGAGCGCAGGCGGUGAUUUAAGUCUGAUGUGAAAGCCCCCAGCUCAACUGGGGAGGGUCAUUGGAAACUGGAUCACUUGAGUG
rnacentral:rRNA from 1 species